UAUGUGAUCGUCUCUCGCAUAUCAAUAAGCGGAGGAAAAGAAACUAACAAGGAUUCCCCUAGUAACGGCGAGUGAAGCGGGAAGAGCUCAAAUUUGAAAUCUUAAAGGGUUUCCCUUUACGAAUUGUAGUUUAAAGAAGUGUUUUCUGUUGAGGUUUUGGUAAAAGUUCUUUGGAAUAGGACAUCAUAGAGGGUGAGAAUCCCGUAUUUGACCUUUACUUUCAACUUUGUGAUACACUUUCAAAGAGUCGGAUUGUUUGGGAAUGCAGUCCAAAAUGGGUGGUAAAUUUCAUCUAAAGCUAAAUAUUGGCGAGAGACCGAUAGCGAACAAGUACCGUGAGGGAAAGAUGAAAAGAACUUUGAAAAGAGAGUUAAACAGUACGUGAAAUUGCCAAAAGGGAAGCGUUUGACACCAGUGUUGUUUUUCUGAAAAUCAAUUAAAGAACUGUUUAUGCUAAGCUGUUUAGACUUUAUCAGCUAUCUGUUUAGUUUUGAGCUUUUCUUUAAUGCACUUUUCAGUUAACAAGUCAACAUCAAUUUCUUUUGCUGUAAAAAAGCUUGAGGAAGGUGGCUUGAGAUUCGUCUUAAGUGUUUAUAGCCUCUUGCCUAUGCAGUCGGAGAGAUUGAGGUCUGCAGCGUAGAUCCUUCGGGGCUAAUGCAUUUGUGCUAAGUUAUAGCAUUUUAUAGACAACUUGUUGACUAUGAUUUGUCUUGUAGCUUACUCGCUUAUGUUAUUUUACCUACGCUUAGGAUGUUGAAGACUCUACAGAGAUA
rnacentral:rRNA from 1 species